AAAAAAUACACCACCUUUGGUUCCUUUCAUUUUUGUGUAACUAAGUAAAAUUUUCAUUGCUCUUUAACUUUAUUCAAAUACAUCUGAUUAUUAUACAGAUGCAGCUCCGGAACUAUAAUGCUGGGUCUUUGGAUUUGUUUUUCACUACAAAUUGUUUCACUAGAGGAAAUUAAUGGAAAGAAAACACUUGAAGAAAGAAAUUGACAGGAA
rnacentral:lncRNA from 1 species